UGGAGGGCAAGUCUGGUGCCAGCAGCCGCGGUAAUUCCAGCUCCAAUAGCGUAUAUUAAAGUUGUUGCAGUUAAAAAGCUCGUAGUUGGAUUUCUGUUAAUAAUUUAUAUAAAAUAUUUUGAUGAAUAUUUAUAUAAUAUUAACAUAAUUCAUAUUACUAUAUAUUUUAGUAUAUGAAAUUUUACUUUGAGAAAAUUAGAGUGCUUAAAGCAGGCAUAUGCCUUGAAUACUCCAGCAUGGAAUAAUAUUAAAGAUUUUUAUCUUUCUUAUUGGUUCUAAGAUAAGAAUAAUGAUUAAUAGGGACAGUUGGGGGCAUUUGUAUUUAACAGUCAGAGGUGAAAUUCUUAGAUUUGUUAAAGACAAACUAAUGCGAAAGCAUUUGCCAAGGAUGUUUUCAUUAAUCAAGAACGAAAGUUAGGGGAUCGAAGACGAUCAGAUACCGUCGUAGUCUUAACCAUAAACUAUGCCAACUAGAGAUUGGAGGUUGUUCCUUACUCCUUCAGCACCUUA
rnacentral:rRNA from 1 species